rnacentral:rRNA from 1 species
CCGUACCGCAAACCGACACAGGUAGUCAAGAUGAGAAUUCUAAGGUGAGCGAGCGAACUCUCGUUAAGGAACUCGGCAAAAUGACCCCGUAACUUCGGGAGAAGGGGUGCUCUUUAGGGUUAACGCCCAGAAGAGCCGCAGUGAAUAGGCCCAAGCGACUGUUUAUCAAAAACACAGGUCUCUGCUAAACCGUAAGGUGAUGUAUAGGGGCUGACGCCUGCCCGGUGCUGGAAGGUUAAGAGGAGUGGUUAGCUUCUGCGAAGCUACGAAUCGAAGCCCCAGUAAACGGCGGCCGUAACUAUAACGGUCCUAAGGUAGCGAAAUUCCUUGUCGGGUAAGUUCCGACCCGCACGAAAGGCGUAACGAUUUGGGCACUGUCUCAACGAGAGACUCGGUGAAAUCAUAGUACCUGUGAAGAUGCAGGUUACCCGCGACAGGACGGAAAGACCCCGUGGAGCUUUACUGUAGCCUGAUAUUGAAAUUCGGCACAGCUUGUACAGGAUAGGUAGGAGCCUUUGAAACGUGAGCGCUAGCUUACGUGGAGGCGCUGGUGGGAUACUACCCUAGCUGUGUUGGCUUUCUAACCCGCACCACUUA